GACGAACGCUGGCGGCGUGCUUAACACAUGCAAGUCGAACGGAAAGGCCCUGCCUUUGUGGGGUGCUCGAGUGGCGAACGGGUGAGUAACACGUGAGUAACCUGCCCUUGACUUUGGGAUAACUUCAGGAAACUGGGGCUAAUACCGGAUAGGAGCUCCUGCUGCAUGGUGGGGGUUGGAAAGUUUCGGCGGUUGGGGAUGGACUCGCGGCUUAUCAGCUUGUUGGUGGGGUAGUGGCUUACCAAGGCUUUGAUGGGUAGCCGGCCUGAGAGGGUGACCGGCCACAUUGGGACUGAGAUACGGCCCAGACUCCUACGGGAGGCAGCAGUGGGGAAUAUUGCACAAUGGGCGGAAGCCUGAUGCAGCAACGCCGCGUGCGGGAUGACGGCCUUCGGGUUGUAAACCGCUUUCGCCUGUGACGAAGCGUGAGUGACGGUAAUGGGUAAAGAAGCACCGGCUAACUACGUG
rnacentral:rRNA from 1 species